rnacentral:rRNA from 1 species
UCCGUAGGCGGUGUGGCAAGUCGGGGGUGAAAUCUCUGGGCUUAACUCAGAGACUGCCUUCGAAACUGCUGUGCUAGAGUGUGGGAGAGGCGCGUGGAAUUGCAGGUGUAGCGGUGAAAUGCGUAGAUAUCUGCAGGAACACCCGUGGCGAAAGCGGCGCGCUGGACCACUACUGACGCUGAGGGACGAAAGCUAGGGGAGCAAACAGGAUUAGAUACCCUGGUAGUCCUAGCCCUAAACCAUCAGGACUUGGGGUGCCUUACGUUCGUGAGUCGUCCCGGAGCUAACGCGUUAAGUCCUGCGCCUGGGGAGUACGGUCGCAAGACUGAA